UAAAAGUUUUAUUCUUGCUUAAUAAUUUGUUAUUAAUAUAUUUUAUAUGUAAAUUUUUGUGCGUUUAAAUAAAUAAUUCUUAAAGGUAAUUUAUAUAAAAAAUUCACAGUAUUUAAUUUUAAAUUUUAAGUAAUUUUAGAAUUAGUAAUAUUAAAUAGUAUAGGUAAAUUUUGUGCCAGCUACCGCGGUUAUACAAAAUAUACAAAUAAAUUAUUUUAGUAGUUAGUUAAUUGAAUAUAGUUAAAAUAAUAAAUUAAAUUAUUAAGUGAAAUUUUAUUUUAUUUUAAAUUUUUAAAAAUUGUAUGAAGCUAUGAAAUUUAAUUAAUAAACUAGGAUUAGAUACCCUAUUAUUUUAAAUGUAAAAUUUUAUACUAGAGUAGUAAUAGUUAUGAUCUUGAAACUCAAAGAAUUUGGCGGUGUUUUAGUCUAUUCAGAGGAACCUGUUCCGUAAUCGAUAAUCCACGUUAAACCUUACUUAAAUUUUUAAUGUAUGUAUAUCGUCGUCAUCAGAAUGUCCUAAAAGGGAAAUAAUUUUCUUAAUAUAAAAAUAUAUUUCAUGUCAGAUCAAGGUGCAGUUUAUAUUUAAGUGGAAAUGGGUUACAAUAAUAAAAUUUAUAUGGAUAAGAUAUUGAAAUAUAUCUUUAAAAGUGGAUUUGAUAGUAAAUAAAUAAAGAUAAUUUUAUUGAUUAAAGCUCUAAAACAUGUACACAUCGCCCGUCGCUCUCGUUCUUUAAAAUGAGAUAAGUCGUAACAUAGUAGUUGUACCGGAAGGUGUAUCUAGAAAGA
rnacentral:ncRNA from 1 species